CAGGCGGAUCGCCCCAAGCCAGGGGUGCCUGGAGCCUCGUGCUUCACGCAGACUUGGAGACCCAGCCAGGCCCGCGCAGCCGCCACGGACAGCGCCCCCUCUGGCAGGGGCUGGGACUGCACGCAGAGCCGCCGGGGUGGAAUUCUAACAGAAGGAGCUGAACGAACCGAGGAGACAGACACCUACCCGCUCUGACUCCCAGCUUCCACAGUUGAGCCCCCACGUCAUCAAACCUGCCCGUGAGGGUGAGGGCGUGUGUAGACAUCCGGGUACUAGCAAGCGCUGAACAAACACAGCACUCUGACUUCAUUCGUUACGGCUCUUUUUGUCUGCUCACUGUGUCCGGCCUGCCCAGCACCAGGGCUGCCUGAGGGAAGAAGAGACCAAGGCUGGCAGGGGGACCUCCCCGGGGAUCCAGAGCUGACUUCAUUGGCUCCCUCGCCCACCCGCAUGGCGCCCUUUGUCACCGGGAAGCCGAGUCUUGAUGUACAAGGAACAGGGUCUUGCUAUGCAUUCCAGGCUGGCCUUGAAUUCAUGGCAUUCCUCCUGCCUCAGCCUCCCCAGCGCUGGGAAUACAGCUGACUUGCUGUUGGAGGAGGGGCCUGGACAGAAGAGGCGGCUCCCUGUGUGUGCCCAGGAAAGGUUCUACCUCCCUCCGGCUCCUUGCUCAACACCCUCUGCUUCCUGGAUACCUUGAUUCGAGCAGCUGUUCCCCUGCCAGGGCCCUCUUCCAUGCUGUCCUGCCUUGGAGCCAACGGACUACAGACUGAAACCUCUACAAACAUAAGCCAAAAUAAACCUCUGCUCCCACUAGUUGUAGGUGUUGGAUAUGAGAAAGUACUGAAGACACUAGCACGGUGCAAAGCACUCAGUACAUCAAUACAUGCCCACUGAGGUGGUGGCUGAUUGGCGGGACCCUGGGCAAAGGCCUCUGGACGGCUGGAAGGUGAGGCAGAGGGAGCUCCUGCUCCCCCAGAUACACACGGGGCAGGCAGGGGAGGCUGUGCCAAACGCAGCUGUCCCGGGCUUAGUCUGCUUUCUGUUGCUAUCACAAAAUACCUGAGACCAGGUAAUUUAUAAAGAAUGGAAGUUUAUUUGGCUCACAGUUCUGGAGGCUGGAAAGUCCAGAAGCACAGCACUAGGGUCUCCCCAGAGUCCAGUGAGGGCCUCUUACUGCAUACAACACGUGGUGAGGCAGAGCAGCCUCGAGUGGCGUUUCUCUUCCUCUUCUUACAAAGCCACUCAUGCACUGUGGGCUCCUUCUUCUCCUGGUGGCAGCUAAUAUAAUCCUCCAAACACCUUAACAUAUGGAUUUGAGGACUAAGUUUCCAACACACGAGCUCAGCCAUGGUGACCCCCUUCCACCUCCACAAACUUGACCUGAGAGGCUUCCAUGGCUCAGACCCGGAAGGGAAGCAGACAAGAGAUCCAGCAGUGAGCAGGGCGGGAGGACAAGGAGAGGCUUUGAGGCCCUCUGGGAGGAUCCUGAAGCGGUGCCUAGGACACCCAGGUGUGGGGCAGGUGCCUCGGGCUCCUAGUUACCCCUCACACCAGGGCUGUGCCAGGGGCACCUUCUGAGGACAGCUGGCUUUCUGGGUCGACUUCCCUGGAGAAAGGGUGUGGAUGGGCGUGGCUCGGGCCGAGGGGCUAAGCCAGAUCGCUGGGGUUUAUGCCCAGGGUGUGGUGUGAGCCAUUCAUGACUGGGAGGCUUCUAACCAUUUCUAGACCUACACGUGGAAAGCCAGCCCCGGGAAAGGCCUGACCGCCAUGGG
rnacentral:lncRNA from 1 species